AGAAAACAGAGUGCUCUGUGAUCAUGCUGAAUCCCUCUUAGGGAAAGGUUACUUCAGUUCUAAGUAUUAAAAACUGGGAUUCUCAGCACCCAUGGUCAGAGCUGACCAUGGAGCAGAGUCCUCCAAGUGGAAGCCCCCAUCCCCCGUGACAGGUGCAUUUAGAAACAGAGUUUAAAAAUGGAGUCCCC